UACUUUUGUGCAGGUGGUAGUGCAGAUACUUCUUUUUAGAACUAAAGCUUAUUAUGCUGACUUGGUGAACUGUACGAGUUGAAACUUAACUGAAGGGAGGGGGAGCAUAUUAGAUGCUGUGUUCACUGAAGAAAUCUUAGUUCUCCAAGGUCAUCUGCCUUAACACCAUGGAUUUUCAUUAUGUGAGUACCAAGUAGUACAUCCAUAUAGUUAAGGUUGCCAAACAGUCUCCAUUGUAAUCCUAUAUUUUUCAUGCCUGGACAGUUUUAUAUUUACAUAUUUUCUGCUUAACAGAUUAAAGGAACUGUACACUUGUACACAAUGAGGUUUUCAAGUUAAGAUAUUUUUGAAGAAUUUUCAAAAGGAUAAAAAGAGAACUACCAAAAAAAAAAAUUAAAAAUCCAAAUAAAUGUUUGACUGUCCUUCAUGAAGCUAUUAUAAGUAGUCAUGGGGGGAGAAGUAAAAUUCUGUCAUCAGUUAGAAACUGUAAGAAUAAAUGGAAAAUUCACAGCAUUUAAGUUGUGGAACUUGCUGGUGUAAGAUAUUCAUGAAAGCUUAGUAGGAUUUGAAAACUGCUUAGACGAUUGAGUGCCUGCACUUAUAUUUGACUAAAAUCUUUGAGAUAUGAAUUUUAAUCCCUCAAAGCAUUUCACACCUGUUUAAGUAUUAACUAACAACCCAAAGGGCAGGCUCUUCCAUAAUGAACAAGCAUGGGAGUUUUACACCUUCUUCUGAAUAUGGUACUGGGCAAUCGGUAGAACCUGUUUUAAAAAGAAAAAAUGGAUAGGUGGUCUGAUGCAUUAUAGUAAUUCCCAUGUUCUACACACACAAGAGGAUGGAACUGUGAGGAUUCAGCUGUACUAUUUUAUAUUUUCUGACUUAAAUGCAUAAGUUAUUUAAAAUUCAAAUUGUAUUGAAGGACCCAUGGAAUCUGAAAAUCAUACUUCUGGCUAAAAAUCUUGAAUUUAGGAAAGUUAUAACACUUAUAAGUACUACAGCUGAAAAGUUAGCAACAUUUCAGUUAACCUUGUGCAACUUACAAAACUUAUUUACUAUUUUCUGUGGCCUGUUAGGCAGGAAUAAACUAACUGUAAUGACUCUUGUAAAUAUUAAAGGGAGCAGAAUACCCUUCCUGUUAAGUAAUUUCAGAAAGUGUAUUGUGAUAUUUCUAUUUUUUGGUUAACUAGUAAGUUUUGUUCAGUAUCUGAGUUCGCCCUGAAAUCUUCCAAAUAGUGUGUAACAGGAAAUAUGACUGAUCAUCAAGAAAAUAGUAAAGCUUGACUGUAUGCAAAGUGCUAGAAAAUGAGCGAAGUAAAUGGAAAAUAAACUGAAACUAAAUUUCAGUCUCUAUAAUUACUUCUAAGAUUGUGAAGUGAGAUAUACUGAUGAAACAUUAUGAGAGCUAGUUAUUAAGGUUUGUGGUGUUUUUUUAAAUAACAUGUAAUUUGAUGGUGUUCCUUUAAUAUAGGCAGUGAGUACAUGGUAACUAAUAAUCAGUUUAGAUCCAAUUUGAAAUAAAUAUAAAAUCAGUGACUUUAUAAAGUAAAUAUCUAAUUUGAUAGGCGUUUGAGGAAGAUAUAAGCUCUCUGCCCAUCCUAUUACCAAUUUGGGUUCUUUUCAGACAUUGGUUGCAGAGCAACUAGGGGAGCAGUUUUUCCUGGUGUCAUCUCAACACAACAUUAGAUCUGUAGACUGAAAAUUUGCAAAUGUAUUGUUUCAGUGGAUUUCAUUCCCUCUGGGGCAUGAAAAUGCUGGGAUGCUGUCAGCAGUAUUUCACUUUUGUGACAUUCUCAUGCUUGUGCUCUACUACUGAGCUCAAAAAGUGUUUGGUAAACAAAUUGUGGUUUUGUGCCUGAUUAGUGUGUACUGAGCAUUUACAGGAUUUAUUAAAAAUCUCUUCUGUUGACUCCAGAAAACGUGGGGAUUUUCAGUAUGUAGUUGCAUAGUCUGUUAGAAGCUGUAGGAUUGUUCUGUAGUGUUGCAAGUUUAGACAGCCUAAUCUUUAUUUUAAGAUAUACUCAGAAAUACAGGAUUGCACACUUUCUGAUCAGGGUGUAAACUUAAGCUUUUUAAGCAGUCUUGCAAUGUUGUGGCUACAACUGACUUAAGAGGGAAGGAGUGCCUCAACUUCAGGCUGUCUUCAAGUUUGAACUAAAAUGAGAUCAGGCAAUUGUUUUCCUCAACUGUAAUUGUACCAUUGCAUGUAGUACUUAGUGUGGUUUUACAUUAGCUUAUGCUCUUUAAUUUUAGACCUCAAUAGACUAUAUAGUAGAAUAAACACUGCUGUGGAAACUUCAGUGUCUCUUGCAAAUUCUCAGCUGUAACAAAGGUUUUAGAAUUUAUAAUUCAAUAACCAGUAUUUUCAAACUGAUGGGCACUUAAAUAGCUACACAGAUACCCAAAUAAGUGGCAGACUUUAAAAGUGGUGAGUUCUCACAGUUUCAGUGACUUCAGUGGGAGUUAAAUGUGCUCAGUGCUUGGGGGGGAAAAAAGGCCACUGAUCUGGAUGUGUAAAUUUGGGGCCGUAUUUGGCCAUAUGCUUUUUUUAAAGUAGUCUUAGUUUUGUUGGGAAUAAUAGUGUGAUGGAAUCCUGAAUACACAAAUUCCAGGGGCAAAGCGAACCUUUUUUCUUUUGUAUAGGUCAGCAUGAUUAUUGAGAAUCUUCUUUAAAAUAUUCCUGACAGUGAUUUGGUUUUAUCAGUUUGAUUGCCUUAUCUCAUUUUUUUUAAUUCUUCAAGGUAUGGCAGUUAAGUGGAGCAAAGCUUGCUGACAAGCAUGCUCCUUGUUUUGACAGUACUGGACAUCAGCAGGCUAUUUGUUGUACUAAUCCUGCAUGCCCUGUUAUAUUGUCAGACUUAUGGGAACCCUCAUAGGCUAGUAUCAGUGGCUUUUGACACUUAUCUGGUAGGUCUGCCUCCAAUUAAUUUAAAUAUUUGUAGCAUUAUUUUAAGAUUAUAUUAGAAUGUUGCCACUGUAAUUGAAUUUACAUGUUAUUGUAGGCAGUUUUGGGCUAGCACUUUUUGUUAGACAUUUUCCCCUGUGAAAUCUAGCAUAUUUCUGUUGAAACUAAGUUAGUUUACAUGCU